rnacentral:rRNA from 1 species
CAGCAGCCACGGUAAUGCGUAGGGUGCAAGCGUUAAUCGGAAUUACUGGGCGUAAAGCGUGCGCAGGCGGUUUGUUAAGACAGAUGUGAAAUCCCCGGGCUCAACCUGGGAACUGCAUUUGUGACUGGCAGGCUAGAGUAUGGCAGAGGGGGGUGGAAUUCCGCGUGUAGCAGUGAAAUGCGUAGAUAUGCGGAGGAACACCGAUGGCGAAGGCAGCCCCCUGGGCCAAUACUGACGCUCACGCACGAAAGCGUGGGGAGCAAACAGGAUUAGAUACCCGCGUAGUCCCUGUCUCUUAUAC